rnacentral:rRNA from 1 species
GACGAACGCUGGCGGCGUGCUUAACACAUGCAAGUCGAACGGAAAGGCCCUGCUUUUGUGGGGUGCUCGAGUGGCGAACGGGUGAGUAACACGUGAGUAACCUGCCCUUGACUUGGGGAUAACUUCAGGAAACUGGGGCUAAUACCGGAUAGGAGCUCCUGCUGCAUGGUGGGGGUUGGAAAGUUUCGGCGGGUGGGGAUGGACUCGCGGCUUAUCAGCUUGUUGGUGGGGGAGUGGCUUACCAAGGCUUUGACGGAUAGCCGGCCUGAGAGGGUGACCGGCCACAUUGGGACUGAGAUACGGACCAGACUCGUACGGGAGGCAGCAGUGGGGAGUAUUGCACAAUGGGCGGGAGCCUGAUGCGGCAACGCCGCGUGCGGGAUGACGGCCUUCGGGUUGUAAAGCGCUUUAGCCUGUGACGAAGCGUGAGUGACGGUAAUGGGUAAAGAAGCACCGGCUAACUACGUG